rnacentral:rRNA from 1 species
GAUGAACGCUGGCGGCGUGCCUAAUACAUGCAAGUCGAGCGAACGGACGAGAAGCUUGCUUCUCUGAUGUUAGCGGCGGACGGGUGAGUAACACGUGGAUAACCUACCUAUAAGACUGGGAUAACUUCGGGAAACCGUAGCUAAUACCGGAUAAUAUUUUGAACCGCAUGGUUCAAAAGUGAAAGACGGUCUUGCUGUCACUUAUAGAUGGAUCCGCGCUGCAUUAGCUAGUUGGUAAGGUAACGGCUUACCAAGGCAACGAUGCAUAGCCGACCUGAGAGGGUGAUCGGCCACACUGGAACUGAGACACGGUCCAGACUCCUACGGGAGGCAGCAGUAGGGAAUCUUCCGCAAUGGGCGAAAGCGUGACGGAGCAACGCCGCGUGAGUGAUGAAGGUCUUCGGAUCGUAAAACUCUGUUAUUAGGGAAGAACAUAUGUGUAAGUAACUGUGCACAUCUUGACGGUACCUAAUCAGAAAGCAACGGCUAACUACGUG